GUGCAUCUAUUUGACAGACCUGAGGCAGUUACUGUCUGCUUCUAAGGUUCCCAUUACAGAUGCAAGAAGAAAGUUUCCUCCAGCUUUCUGUCUGACUGUGACAGCCAAGACUGAAUAGAGGAACACAGAG
ensembl:snoRNA